AUAGCUCAGCUGGGAGAGCGCCUGCUUGGCACGCAGGAGGUCUGCGGUUCGAUCCCGCAU
rnacentral:tRNA from 1 species